CGUUUGUAAUUUCGGACAUUAUAUGUAACAAUCCUACUAUUCAUUCCACAAUGAAGGCCAGUGGGCCUAGAUUUUUAAUUUGAUACACGUAUAAACUUAACACUGCGCAAGUUACGUCACGGAAUGCAGUAUAGGGGAGGAGAAAAUAUUUGGCUGGACGAGGAGUUGAACCUAGGAUCCCUACAUUACUAGUCAGGUGCUCUAACCACUGAGCUAUCCAGGUCGAUAUCCACGGUCCGUGUAGCCCUAACUACUAAAUUCCUCCCUUUAAUUUGUCUUUGCCGUCGAAGACACACAACCCAGAUUCAUUUCACCCCUGGCAGGACAAGAGUGGUCACGGCACCAACUGGUAAAAUCUUGCACAGAGGUCCCUAGGUUCAAUUCCCGAUCCAGCCACAAAUUUUCUCCGUGUAUGUCUAUCUGAGACUGAGUUGGAAAAUUACGGUAUCUUCAUAGUGACAAACUAAUGAAAAUAUUGAUCAAAUUCGACUGGUCAAGGACUGUUAAUAUAAAUAAAUUUGAAACAUUGGUAAUUGUAAUGAUUGGGUUCAUGUUAUACUAAGCUUGUGUUUCAAGACAAGGCUGUCUUUGUUGGUGAUGAUACUGAUGUAUAUAUUUAGAAACAAGUAAUGCUUUGAUUUUGAUUACAGGUGUGGUCUUUAAAAAAAUUAAUGCAUGGCAAGGUUGAUAGUGAGACUAAUAAAUUCUUUCAGCAGAAUUCAGCUAGACACAAAAAAAAGACAAUCACUACAGCCUUCCAAGAAGAUGGACUGCCUCACAAUAGUUUCCUUGAGGACUGUCUUGAAAUAUCCAGAGUUUAAGAUUCAAGAAACGGACUCUAUCUGGAAAAGGAAAACAAUAUCAAAGCUCCUCUGUGAGAAGUUGGCCAAGGAAAGCAUUCAGAAGAAAGUGGAGAUUCAUUAUUUUUACCAGAUCCAGUAGAUCACAGAAAGCAUCUAGUAGGGGAGGUAAAUGAAGCAUCUUUUACUCCCUAUAUACAGGGCUUGAAGCUAACUUUUUAUGUCACCAGUCCAGCCGGACUGAUGGGGUAUAAUUUCAACCAGUCCGCUGAAAAAUUUACUAGUCCAACAGAGUUUUCCAGAAAUAUUUAAACACAUUUCAUUAAUGUUAUUAAAAUGAAAUUUAGCUCAAUAUGUCUUAAACAAUAUUGUAACACUAAAAUGUGGGAUUUAUAUUUACAACUCGGAUUUGUCUGAUAGGUCUACAGAUCGAAGCAUGCCAAAUGUGUAAAGAACAAGGAUUAAGCCAGCCAGUAGAUGAGACUAUUAUAUCAAAAAUACAUUUACUUGUACACGAGGGCACACAAAGCGUUGAUGAAACAAAAAGACAUUUCCGUCUGUUUGUAAAGGAUACUAUUUCACCAGGGAACACCAUCUCAGAAUUUAACAGAUGCUUUUACCCCGCCAAUAAGGAUGUAAGAAAUCGCAUUUACAGGGCACCGAGAUUUUGCCAGGUAGUUUAGAACUGUGUGCAUUGGUUUUGGAAGAAUUUGGUCUGUUUAGGCUAAAAUCCAUUAUGAUUGGACAGAAUAUGAACACACACAUCCAAUACUUCAAAGAUAUUAUGUUUGUGGAGGCAGAGAUUUUGAUUGCAUCCACUGUUUAGAAUACAUCCUUAAGGGAAGCAGACUUCCGCCUUUACCUAAUGAUAUAAUGAUUAAUCAUAACUAUAUCUGUUUUGUACCAAAUAGAAAGAGCAUUGAUUCAGGUCAUUUUCAAAUCCACUGGCAUACAUUGUACUAUACAUGCAACCUUUUCAAACUUUACAUUUAAGAUUUUAUAAAGGAAAUAUCUUAAUGUUUCACAUGUUUACCUUUCACUGUGCUAUGUAAAUCAUUAUACCUGCCAUUAUGCCAGUCUUCCUGAACAUAAGUUGUUUUCUGCAAUUUCAUUGGCCAAGAGGCUUAAUCCUGGGUUAUCAGAUUGAGCAUUUAUAUUUAGUAUCCCAUUGAUUUUGUCAGCCCUAUAUAAGGAGCUGACUCAGAUUUACUCACUCUGCUAGGUUAAAGAACUCUAAGGUUUGUACUUUUCACAUGAAUUUCGUGUUCGCCUCUUAUCUUUUACAUAGAGUAGGAAAUGAACAUAACAUUGAGUUAGGGAACAAUUUAGAUUUUACAUUAUAAUAUGUAAAUACCUUAGCAGAGUCAAUUUACUUGGUUCAGGGUAGUAUCAGAUAUUACUUUUUCAGAGUUUAAGUGUUUAGGCUAUCUCAAUGUUUCUAUAGUUAGCCUUGUCCUAUGUUACUUUUAGAUGUAUGGAAGCCUUUUAGUGUUAUAACACUAUAUUUAUGCCCCCAUUCAAAGAAGAGGGGCAUAUUGGUUUGCACCUGUUGGUCGGUCGGUAGACCACAUGUUGUCCGCUUAAUAUCUUAAGAACCAUUCACUUGAUCGUAAUAUAUUUCAUAUGUGGGUUGGUUAUGAAAAGAAGAGGACCCCAAUUGUUUUUCUGGUCGAAAUGUCAAGGGUCAAUCUACUCUGGACAUAGGAAGACACUGCCUGCUCAAUAUCUUGAGAACCCUUUGCUUGACAGACAUCAAACUUGGUACACUGGUACAUCUCAAGGAGUAGAUUUGAGGUCACAUGGUCAAAAGUCAAGGGGUAAACUGGACAUAGUAAUAUAUUGUCUCUUAUGUUUUAAGAAUUAUUUGCUUGAUUGACACCAAACCUAGUACAGCAUAAGGAGUAGAUGACCCCUAUUGAUUUUUAGGUCACUUGGUCAAUCCACUCCUGACACAGGAAGAUAUUGUUUGCUCAAUAUUUCGAAUUGAUGAUACUACUAUCAAUCAAAUUAUGCAUGUGUAUAACCCUUUUCAAUUUUGCACCAUGGGGGCUUAUAUGUUUUACAAACACCUCAUGUUUUAUAGUUUGCGAAAGCUUGUUAGGGUCAUAACUUUAGAUUUUCUUAUUAUGGUACUUGCCCGUCAGAGACUGGACAUAUUAUGGUAUGGUGUUGUCUGUCCGGACCUUGUAAGAUGGGAUACAGACUGAACCGUAAGCUCCAGAAUCUUACAACUUGGUACAUUUGAUCACCAUAAAAGGAAGAUGCUUAUUGUUUUUUAAGGUCAAGGUUGUAGGUUCACUUAAUAGGAAAACCUUGUUUGAGAAAAUUACAGAUUCUUGAACUGAGUAUUUUGAGGAAACAUUACAUAGAAAGUACAUGAUUUGUCAAAUUUCUCCCAAUAUUCAACUGAGAACCUUAUUCUGCAGAGUAUUUGUAUGGGUAUGGAAAAUGUGUAUGUGGCUAUGAUUUUGAUUUUUGUUUAAUUUUUUUUUUUUUUGAAAAUUACAGGUUUAACCGAGUCAGUUUUUGAGGAAAUAUACAUGUAUUAAAUAAAUGACGGUUUGACCUUUUAACUCCUCUCACAGUUUUGAAACUAGGGUCUUUGUAAAUAACUUCUUUGGUGUUUUAGAAUAUUUACAGAUUUUUGAUCAUGGUAAAUUUUGGGGAAAUGUUUUCCGCAGAGCUCUAGUUGUCUAUCUACCGGCCUCCUGUCACUUUUAAGUUUAGGAGCUUUUAUUCAUGGAAAGAAAGUAUGUGACAGCCUGAUGAUGGCUGAUACUAUUUAAAGCCUUUUUAUACGCCCGUCUUAAGACGGGACGUAUUAUGGUAUGGCGUUCAUGUCCGUCCGUCUGUUAGCUUUUUCGUGUCCGACCCGUAACUUAAAUACUACAAGGCCUAGAAUCAUCAAACUUUGUCUGUAGAUACAUCUUGGGUAGAAGGUGUGUCGCACAUUAAAACCAGGUCACUGUGACUUUUCAUUAAGAAGAUAUCCGUCUGUCCGUCCGUCUGUUAGCUUUUUCGUUUCUGACCCGUAACUUAAAUACUACAAGGCCUAGAAUCAUCAAACUUUGUCUGUAGAUACAUCUUGGGUAGAAGGUGUGUCGCACAUUAAAACCAGGUCACUGUGACUUUUCAUUAAGAAGAUAUGGCCAUAUAUGGCAAAAACUUGUCCGGCUCAUAACUUGAAAACUAUUAGACCUAGAAUCACCAAAAUUGGUCAACUAAUGCAUCUUAGGUAGAAGGUGUGUCACAUCCUACUUUAAGGUCACUGUGACAUUUAAUUAAGGUAAUAUUAAAAACAAUGUUUUAAUGGGUACAAUCUAUACUGUUAACAAUAUGUGACGGGCGUAUCAUGUGCCGUGGCGGUACACUUUAUUCUAGAAAUGGCAUCAGAAAAACACCCUAUGUAACCUUUUCUGCUUAUACUCAUUUAUUUUUAUUGGAAAACUUAUUACUUGUUAUCAGCUACUCUAAAACAAUAUUGACUUGUGCUAUAAUAAAUUUGUAAACUUUA